CUAUUGUGGUCCUCAGCAGAGCUGAUUGGCCACUGAGUGUGGGAAACUGUGUGUCGGGCUGCUCAGCUCACAUUGCGAGCCAUAAAUAGGGGAACACGGAUACAGCUUGUGACAGGCAAAGCCAACCAGUCACCCACCACCACUCUCCAUUGCUCCAAACUGGUUCAGAUAUAAUGCUGAUGUGCUGAUGGACAAGUACAGUUCAAGUUGGUGAAACUAGUUUUGAAGGAAACUUGCCACGAUGGAAACACAAACAAAUAAACAAACAAACUGAUGGAAAAGUUCAAUCCACUUCAAACUUCACUGGGAAAAAGAGAGUUGCAAAUUUCAAAGGAACAAAGAAGAAUCUGGUGACAACUGACACCCUGAAACAUCAGACCCAGGAGCUGCUUGUGUGAUCAAAGCACAGUAUUAGGAGAGCCAGACCAGGGAGGUAUCUCAGGGAUACUCCCCACGUGUUUGUGGGAGAUGGUGUUUCCUUCCACACAAACACCCAGGAUCACGUUCAGAAGAAAGUCGGGAGCAAUAUUUCAAAGAAUGGAAUUCCAGCCGAGGAGCUGUGUAAUUCUGUAUCUCCUGUGCACUCUCCUGCCUGCUUUUCAAACGUGCACUAUGGAGACCCUGGUGGAACCACAGCCCUGUAUUUAUUGAGCCCAACACAACCUACUAGAGAUGUACUCUAGUAAAACAGUAUUCCAGAAUGGAAAAAGUAUUCCCUUAUUACCUUCAAAUUGAAGGAAGUGGGUAGUCGUUUAAAUGGACAUUUAUUUUAAAACACUAUCCUUACUUUGUAAUGUCAUAUUGUUUGACUUUUGUUCUACAAUAUUUGUAGAGAUAUUGAGCAAAACAUCUGUAUAUUCACAAUGAAUGUGUAAAGUAAUGGGAUGGCACCAACAAUUGUGUAGAAUAAAUCUCUCCUUGUUCUAGUGUCUGGGAAUGGAAGAAAGUAAUUGGACUUUCUUGUUGAAGAUAUCUCUCAUCUUCUAUGAAAAGUUUAGCUCUAAUUGAUAACUCUGUGAGUUUUAUGUGUAUUUUAUAACUUCAACUAAACAGUUUUGCACAAUUUUUUGUGUAAAAAUGCAAUGUACAAUGAUAUAAAUGUCAAUGAAAAGAAUUAAGAAGCCACAGAAAUUUAGGUCAAUGAUUGGAAAUGGGUGUGUAGGAGAUUGUCUCCUGUAAAUUAUGUUGGGGAUGGAACAUGGGUUUGCAGAAAGUACAACAAUGGCUUUUUGUAAAAACUGUAAAAUAAAAACAGAAAAUAUUAAAGAACCUUA